CUAACAGGAUUCCCCUAGUAACUGCGAGUGAAGCGGGAAAAGCUCAAAUUUAAAAUCUGGUGGUCUUUGGCCAUCCGAGUUGUAAUCUAGAGAAGCGUCUUCCGCGCUGGACCGUGCACAAGUCUCCUGGAACGGAGCGUCGUAGAGGGUGAGAAUCCCGUCUUUGGCAUGGACACACCAGGGCUUUUGUGAUGCGCUCUCGAAGAGUCGAGUUGUUUGGGAAUGCAGCUCAAAAUGGGUGGUGAACUCCAUCUAAAGCUAAAUAUUGGCGAGAGACCGAUCGCGAACAAGUACCGUGAGGGAAAGAUGAAAAGCACUUUGGAAAGAGAGUGAAACAGUACGUGAAAUUGUUGAAAGGGAAACGCUUGAAGUCAGUCGCGUCGACCGAGACUCAGCCUCGCCUCGGCUUGGCGUACUUCUCGGCCCGACGGGUCAGCAUCAAUUUCGCCUCUAGGAUAAUGGCGAGGGAAACGUGACACCUUUACGGUGUGUUAUAGUCUCUCGUCGCAUGCAAGGGUCGGGAUUGAGGAACUCAGCACGCGCCUUUGGGCGUCGGGGCUUUGCCUACGAUACGUGCUUAGGAUGUUGGCGUAAUGGCUUUAAACGACCCGUCUUGAAACACGGACCAAGGAGUCUAACAUGCCUGCGAGUGUUCGGGUGGAAAACCCGUGCGCGCAAUGAAAGUGAAAGUUGGGACCUCCGUCGUGGAGGGCACCGACGCCCGGACCAGACCUUCUGUGACGGCUCUGCGGUAAAGCAUGUAUGUUAGACCCGAAGAUGGUGAACUAUGCCCUGAAUUAGGGUGAAGCCAGAGGAGACUCUGGUGGGAGCUCGUAGCGAUUCUGACGUGCAAAUCGAUUC
rnacentral:rRNA from 1 species